rnacentral:rRNA from 1 species
UACGAAGGGUGCAAGCGUUAAUCGGAAUUACUGGGCGUAAAGCGCACGUAGGCGGCUUUUUAAGUCAGGGGUGAAAUCCCGGGGCUCAACCCCGGAACUGCCCUUGAAACUGGAGAGCUAGAAUCUUGGAGAGGCGAGUGGAACUCCGAGUGUAGAGGUGAAAUUCGUAGAUAUUCGGAAGAACACCAGUGGCGAAGGCGACUCGCUGGACAAGUAUUGACGCUGAGGUGCGAAAGCGUGGGGAGCAAACAGG